rnacentral:rRNA from 1 species
ACGAGGGGCGUCGCCUGUUUAACAAAAACAUUUCCUCCUAGAAAAGGAGGUAAGGCCUGCUCACUGAAUUUUUUAAAGAGCCGCAGUAUCCUAACUGUGCUAAGGUAGCAUAAUCAUUAGUCUUUUAAUUGGAGACUGGUAUGAAUGGCUAAACGAGAAAUUGACUUUUUUUGUUAUAGAAAUUGAACUUAAUUUUUUAGUGAAAAAGCUAAAAUUUUUCAGAAAGACGAGAAGACCCUAUAGAGUUUUAUGCUUUAAAAUACUUUCCCUAAAUUGAUUUUUUCAGGUAAAAUAUAAAUAAGCAUUUUGUUGGGGCGACAUUAAGAUAAAAAAAACUCUUUAUUUUUUAAAUUUUUAUUUAAAUAUAAUUGAUCCUCUAAAAGAGAUCAAAAGAAAAAAUUACCUUAGGGAUAACMGCGURAUCUUUUUUGAGAGUUCUAAUCGACAAAAAGGUUUGCGACCUCGAUGUUGGACUAAAAUUUAGGCAGGGUGCAGCAGUUCUGCUUUAAGGUCUGUUCGACCUAUAAUAUUUUACAUGAUCUGAGUUCCAAACCGGA